rnacentral:rRNA from 1 species
UGCGUAGGCGGCGUAAUAAGUCAGAGGUGAAAGCCUACGGCUCAACCGUAGAAUUGCCUUUGAUACUGUUAGGCUUGAAUGGGGUUGAGGUCAGCGGAAUGUGACAUGUAGCGGUGAAAUGCAUAGAUAUGUCAUAGAACACCAAUUGCGAAGGCAGCUGGCUGGAUCUGCAUUGACGCUGAGGCACGAAAGCGUGGGGAGCGAACA